rnacentral:rRNA from 1 species
AAAUUGAAGAGUUUGAUCAUGGCUCAGAUUGAACGCUGGCGGCAGGCCUAACACAUGCAAGUCGAACGGUAACAGGAAGCAGCUUGCUGCUUUGCUGACGAGUGGCGGACGGGUGAGUAAUGUCUGGGAAACUGCCUGAUGGAGGGGGAUAACUACUGGAAACGGUGGCUAAUACCGCAUAACGUCGCAAGACCAAAGAGGGGGACCUUCGGGCCUCUUGCCAUCAGAUGUGCCCAGAUGGGAUUAGCUAGUUGGUGAGGUAACGGCUCACCAAGGCGACGAUCCCUAGCUGGUCUGAGAGGAUGACCAGCCACACUGGAACUGAGACACGGUCCAGACUCCUACGGGAGGCAGCAGUGGGGAAUAUUGCACAAUGGGCGCAAGCCUGAUGCAGCCAUGCCGCGUGUAUGAAGAAGGCCUUAGGGUUGUAAAGUACUUUCAGCGGGGAGGAAGGUGUUGUGGUUAAUAACCGCAGCAAUUGACGUUACCCGCAGAAGAAGCACCGGCUAACUCCGUGCCAGCAGCCGCGGUAAUACGGAGGGUGCAAGCGUUAAUCGGAAUUACUGGGCGUAAAGCGCACGCAGGCGGUCUGUCAAGUCGGAUGUGAAAUCCCCGGGCUCAACCUGGGAACUGCAUUCGAAACUGGCAGGCUUGAGUCUUGUAGAGGGGGGUAGAAUUCCAGGUGUAGCGGUGAAAUGCGUAGAGAUCUGGAGGAAUACCGGUGGCGAAGGCGGCCCCCUGGACAAAGACUGACGCUCAGGUGCGAAAGCGUGGGGAGCAAACAGGAUUAGAUACCCUGGUAGUCCACGCCGUAAACGAUGUCUACUUGGAGGUUGUGCCCUUGAGGCGUGGCUUCCGGAGCUAACGCGUUAAGUAGACCGCCUGGGGAGUACGGCCGCAAGGUUAAAACUCAAAUGAAUUGACGGGGGCCCGCACAAGCGGUGGAGCAUGUGGUUUAAUUCGAUGCAACGCGAAGAACCUUACCUGGUCUUGACAUCCACAGAACUUUCCAGAGAUGGAUUGGUGCCUUCGGGAACUGUGAGACAGGUGCUGCAUGGCUGUCGUCAGCUCGUGUUGUGAAAUGUUGGGUUAAGUCCCGCAACGAGCGCAACCCUUAUCCUUUGUUGCCAGCGAUUAGGUCGGGAACUCAAAGGAGACUGCCAGUGAUAAACUGGAGGAAGGUGGGGAUGACGUCAAGUCAUCAUGGCCCUUACGACCAGGGCUACACACGUGCUACAAUGGCGCAUACAAAGAGAAGCGACCUCGCGAGAGCAAGCGGACCUCAUAAAGUGCGUCGUAGUCCGGAUUGGAGUCUGCAACUCGACUCCAUGAAGUCGGAAUCGCUAGUAAUCGUGGAUCAGAAUGCCACGGUGAAUACGUUCCCGGGCCUUGUACACACCGCCCGUCACACCAUGGGAGUGGGUUGCAAAAGAAGUAGGUAGCUUAACCUUCGGGAGGGCGCUUACCACUUUGUGAUUCAUGACUGGGGUGAAGUCGUAACAAGGUAACCGUAGGGGAACCUGCGGUUGGAUCACCUCCUUACCUGAAAGAA